rnacentral:rRNA from 1 species
CACGUAGGGGGCGAGCGUUGUCCGGAUUUAUUGGGCGUAAAGAGCUCGUAGGUGGCUCGGUAAGUCGGGUGUGAAAUUUCGAGGCUCAACCUCGAGACGCCACCUGAUACUGCUGUGGCUAGAGUCCGGUAGGGGAGCGUGGAAUUCCUGGUGUAGCGGUGAAAUGCGCAGAUAUCAGGAGGAACACCAAUGGCGAAGGCAGCUCGCUGGGACGUGACUGACGCUGAGACGCGAAAGCGUGGGGAGCAAACAGG